AUUAAGCUACAAAUUUCUUUUAUUUUUAUGGAACUGUAUCCAGUUUCCGAGGUCUUCUUUAAGAUAUAUUUUACAAAUUUGCAGAUCUAUAAUAAAAUCAAAACAAAUAUGGUUAUCGUUUCAUGUCAUUUGGCGACAUAUUUUAGGAGAUUUGCAUGAUAAAUACACUUAUGUGCAGCAUAAGUGACUUUAUGGUACAAUGAAAGAUUGUAACUUUUAAUUGUAUUAAGUCUUUUGAUAUCAUGUUUUGUAAAUAUUAGAAAUAUUAGAAAUAUGUAGAAAAUAGUUUUGUACAGUACAUAGGUGUUUAUCUGACUUGAAUCUCUUAGGAAUUUUGUAAUUGAUAUGGGGGCGCUACUUCAAGCACAUGUUUUAAUAUGCAGCCUCUUUUUCAAAUAGCUGCCGAAGGAAGAACACGUACAGAAAUUUGGUGACGCUCAAUUUCAUAAAAUAUUUUCACUCAAUUUCAUAAAAUAUUUUUUCUAGGCAUGCCUUUAAACACACUUAUACUAGGUCAUUCCAUUUGCCAUCGGCUUCACAACUACCUGAAAUCAAGAAACGAUCAUAGACACCAAUUAGACUUCAAUUUGGCAAAAACUUCAACCGUCGAGUGGCAUGGCGUAGGAGGAAGAACUAUUCAUAAAAUGAUAAAGUUCGACAUGGGUAUAGUUAAAAUUAAAAAACCCGAAUGUGUUAUUCUCCUAGCUGGUGGUAACGAUGUUGUAGAAGACACGUCUGUUGAGGAAGUGGCAUAUAAACUGAUAAGUUUCUGUUCGAUACUGACAAAUACGUAUGGAGUUCGACGAGUAGUAAUAUGUGCCAUCAUGCCACGCUUCCCACGGGAUAAUUUCAGACUUAAGAAAGAUGGAUACAAUCGGGACAAUACAAGUGUCCGAGAUAGGGCAUACAAGAAUAUGUAUUUUGAAAAAGCACAAGAAAUAAAUAAAAUGAUAAAAAACGAGGUUGAAAAAUCAUCGAAAUUUAUCUUUUGGGAUCAUAGCAAAAGAUUUUCUUUUGACACCACAAACAAAAAUUCAUGCAAAGAUAAAUUUAUUUCCGAUGGAGUACAUCUAAAUACGAAAGGUCAAUACCAUUUAUACAAGUCAAUACGAGGAGCAGUUAUCAAUGCCAGCAAAGAGAUUAAAUUAGAAAACGGAAAUUAACACGUAUCUGAACCGUACUCGUAAAUUUUGGAAUCUUUGGAAAACUUCCGGUGGAUAAUCGCAACAAAAUGACAAUCAAACUUAUUGGGAUUAUGAUGCAUAAUCAUGGUUCAAGUAGUAGUUACCAUAAAUAAAUACAAGUUAACAACACACAUUUACAUAUCAAUCCGCUAUGUUACUGUUUGUCGAUCGAUAUCAUAUUACAUAUCACAUUAUCGUACUUGACUUUUAUACUAAUGAAUUAUGUAGGUCAUGUAUACAGUAACGAUACAUGUCGUAUGUUUGAACUUAAUGUUGUUGCUAAAACUAAAUAUUUAGUUACCAAAAGGAAAAAUUUUACGGCAGAAACUGGUAAUAUUUCAGAUAAUAAUGAACACAAACAAAACAAUUUUAACAUGUUUAAUGGUUGAGGAUCGUCCAGAUUAAAUUAUUCAAACAAGGUUAACAUGAAUAAUCAAGGUUAAAUACAAAGAAAAACAAAUUCAAUAAAACAAAAUAGUCCUAAAAAGAAAAAUUAUUAUAAUUGAAAGUAUUGUAUUAAGUUUGCAUUAGUAUAUUUCAGACAAUGCCUCCAAAAAGACAAUCCUCGUACGGUGUGGCAGGUGCCAUAAAGAAAAUGAAAACGGCCGCCCAGAGGAAGAAAACAUCAACCGCUAUACCAAGUAGGCCUUCCAUCCCCCCAAAUAAUGCAACAGUUAUAUCACCAGAUGUCAUGGAGGAGUUGACCAAUAGGGUAACGGAAAGGGUAGCUAGCCGAAUGGAAAGGAGGAUGGAGGAAAUUUUUGACAAGAUAACUUCAAAAGGAAAUAAUGGCAAUUCAGAUAUUCAGGAGGCUGAGGUCCAACAUCAUGUGGACACUCUGAACAGAAACAUCCAAGGGCUUGUGGGUCACAGCUCAUUACAUAUCACAAACAGAAUAACAGUUCAUAUUAUAUGGAAACGGUGGUCAAUUGGGAAAGGUGAAUUAUGACGCUUAUUUAAGCUGAUACAAGGACAACCUAAAACCAGGAAUUCAUCCGUUUACCAUUGAAAUGACCAAAUUUUACUGAGAAGUAAUUGACAGAAAACAGCUUGCCAGGACUGGAUUCUUAAAAUCUCCCAUUUACAUGUAGUAAUAUUUAUCAGUAAACUUAUAACAAUAUUUAAGGAAAUACAGUUAUCUGAAAGGGAAAAUAGGUAUUAAUACAAUUAUUGAAUGCAUGUUUUUGCUGUAAGAAUUUAGUCAAUAGUAAACAAACUUGGUCUGUUAUUGCAUCAAGUAAAAAUAUUUGUUUGACACAAUGUCUGUAAAUUGUGUCUUUUUAGUAUAUUUUGGUUUGUAUCAAGUAGAUACAUGGUUAGGACACAAUGUCUGUAAAUUGUGUCUUUUUUUAGUAUAUUUUGGUUUGUAUCAAGUAGAUACAUUGAUAGGACACAAUGUCUGUAAAUUGUGUCUUUUUAGUAUAUUUUAGUUUGUAUCAAGUAGAUACAUUGAUAGGACACAAUGUCUGUAAAUUGUGUCUUCUUAGUAUAUUUUGGUUUGUAUCAAGUAGAUACAUUGAUAGGACACAAUGUCUGUAAAUUGUGUCUUUUUAGUAUAUUUUGGUUUGUAUCAAGUAGAUACAUUGAUAGGACACAAUGUCUGUAAAUUGUGUCUUUUAGUAUAUUUUAGUUUGUAUCAAGUAGAUACAUUGAUAGGACACAAUGUCUGUAAAUUGUGUCUUUUUAGUAUAUUUUAGUUUGUAUCAAGUAGAUACAUUGAUAGGACACAAUGUCUGUAAAUUGUGUCUUUUUAGUAUAUUUGGUUUGUAUCAAGUAGAUACAUGGUUAGUACACAAUGUCUGUAAAUUGUGUCUCUUUAGUUUAUGAUUGGUUGUAUAAAGUAGAUACGUAGGUAGGACACAAUGUCUGUAAAUUGUGUCUUUAAGGAUACAGGACAUUCGUGGGACUCAAUGUCUGUAUAUUGUGUAUUUUUAGUAUAUGCAUUUGUUGCAUAAUUUUUUACUUGUUUAUAAACAGUACAUAGAAUCGUAAGUUUUAUCAUUUGCAUAAGUAGGAUGAUGGGUGAUGCAGGUUUACUUUAGGGCAGCGUUUUCAGCUCCAUAAGAGCUUCAUACGUCAUGGCGGUAUCUGCUCCCAAAAGUUGAGAUGUUACACUAUUAUUAACAAAUUUAUAGUCAAGGGGAGAUAACUCUAAAUUGAUUGACUUUUCAAAAAUUUCAAUUUUAAUAAUUGAUGACAUUUGUCUUUUCACUUAUUACAUAAUAUGCUUAUUGGUUCAGAUUGUAAUGAAAGUAUUGUAUAUUUAAAUUCACAAUUGGUACUUAUAAUUGUAGUGUAUGCAAAUUUUAUACAUGUAUCUUUUGAUAUGAUUGAUUUUGAAACAUAAACUGUCACAUCUGUGGCCUGCAUCAUCAUAA